rnacentral:rRNA from 1 species
GACGAACGCUGGCGGCGUGCUUAACACAUGCAAGUCGAACGGAAAGGCCCGGCUUUUGUGGGUUGCUCGAUUGGCGAACGGGGGAGUAACACGUGAGUAACCUGCCCUUGACUUUGUGAUAACUUCAGGAAACUGGGGCUAAUACCGGAUAGGAGCUCCUGCUGCAUGGUGGGGGUUGGAAAAUGUCGGCGGUGGGGGAUGGACUCGCGGCUUAUCAGCUUGUUGGUGGGGUAGUGGCUUACCAAGGCUUUGACGGGUAGCCCGCCUUAGAGGGUGACCGGCCACAUUGGGACUGCGAUACGCACCAGAAUCCUAUGGGCGGCAGCAGUGGGGAAUAUUGCACAAUGGGCCGAAGCCUGAUGCAGAAACGCCGCGUGCGGGAUGCCGGCCUUCGGGUUGUAAACAGCUUUCGCCUGUGACGAAGCGUGAGUGACGGUAAUGGGUAAAGAAGCACCGGCUAACUACGUG